AAGCUCUUUGAUUUAUAAAGGGUCUAGCCUGCCCAGUGGAAAAUUCUCAACGGCCGCGGUAUAUUGACCGUGCAAAGGUAGCAUAAUCACUUGUUCUUUAAAUGGGAACUUGUAUGAACGGCAUUACAUUGUUUUACUGUCUCCUUUUUCUGCCCUUUAAACUUCUACUUACGUGAAGAAGCGUAAAUUUAAAAGAAAGACGAGAAGACCCUGUCGAGCUUUAGCUUUUAUUAAAUGUAUUUUAAAACUUCUAGUUUCAUUUCUUUUUAAAAAAAGCUUUGGUUGGGGCAACCAUGGAGAAAAAAUAUCCUCCAGUCUAAAAAGAAGAACUUCAAUUCUCUUACAUAAUAUCAAGAACCAGUUUACUGGAAAACGGAAAAAGUUACCGCAGGGAUAACAGCGUUAUCUUCUUUAAGAGUUCAUAUUGACAAGAAGGUUUGCGACCUCGAUGUUGGAUUGGGAUACCCUAUAAGUGCAGCAGCUUCUAAAGGUUGGACUGUUCGUCCAUUAAAAUCCUACA
rnacentral:rRNA from 1 species